GUGCCAGCAGCCGCGGUAAUACGGAGGGUGCAAGCGUUAAUCGGAAUUACUGGGCGUAAAGCGCACGCAGGCGGUUUGUUAAGUCAGAUGUGAAAUCCCCGGGCUCAACCUGGGAACUGCAUCUGAUACUGGCAAGCUUGAGUCUCGUAGAGGGGGGUAGAAUUCCAGGUGUAGCGGUGAAAUGCGUAGAGAUCUGGAGGAAUACCGGUGGCGAAGGCGGCCCCCUGGACGAAGACUGACGCUCAGGUGCGAAAGCGUGGGGAGCAAACAGGAUUAAAUACCCUGGUAGUCC
rnacentral:rRNA from 1 species